GAUGAACGCUGGCGGCGUGCCUAAUACAUGCAAGUCGAGCGAACAGACGAGGAGCUUGCUCCUUCGACGUUAGCGGCGGACGGGUGAGUAACACGUAGGUAACCUACCUAUAAGACUGGGAUAACUUCGGGAAACCGGAGCUAAUACCGGAUAAUAUUUCGAACCGCAUGGUUCGAUAGUGAAAGAUGGCUUUGCUAUCACUUAUAGAUGGACCUGCGCCGUAUUAGCUAGUUGGUAAGGUAACGGCUUACCAAGGCAACGAACCGUAGCCGCCCUGAGAGGGUGAUCGGCCACACUGGAACUGGGACACGGUCCAAACUCCUACGGGAGGCAGCAGUAGGGAAUCUUCCGCAAUGGGCGAAAGCCUGACGGAGCAACGCCGCGUGAGGGAUGAAGGUCUUCGGAUCGUAAAACUCUGUUAUUAGGGAAGAACAAACGUGUAAGUAACUGUGCACGACUUGACGGUACCUAAUCAGAAAGCCACGGCUAACUACGUG
rnacentral:rRNA from 1 species